GCGGGGCCCGAGGGGCUGCGGCGGCGCUGCGGGCGGGCGGGUGCCGACCCCGCGCGCACCCGCUGACCGGCGCGGCCGGCGGCCCGGCUGGCCACUGCGGGCGCCUCGCCUGCGGGGCCGCAGCUGCCGCGGAGAUGAGUGCGGUGUCGGAACCGCAGGCCCUGUCCAGCACCCCGGAGAAGCCGCCCGUCUCGGCCAUCCUCUGCCGCACGUGCGGGGCGCCCUGCCGGGGCGAGGUGCUGCGCGUGCAGAGUCAGUACUUCCACAUCAAGUGCUUUGUGUGCAAAGCCUGCGGCUGCGACCUGGCCGAGGGCGGCUUCUUCGUGCGACAGGGCGAGUUCAUCUGCACCAGCGACUACCAGCGGCUCUACGGCACGCGCUGCUCCAGCUGCGAGCAGUUCAUCGAGGGCGAGGUGGUGUCAGCGCUCGGCAGGACCUACCACCCCCGCUGCUUCGUGUGCGCCACCUGCCGGCUCCCCUUUCCACCUGGGGACCGUGUGACCUUCAACGGAAAGGAAUGUGUGUGCCAGAAGUGCUCCCUGCCCAUCGCGGCAGCAAGCGGCACGCACCCGGCCCAGGGCCUCUGGAGCUGCGGCGGCUGUGGCAUGGAGAUCAAGGAUGGCCAGUCCCUGGUGGCCCUGGACCGCCACUGGCACCUGGGCUGUUUCCGGUGCCAGGCCUGCGGGACGCAGCUGAACGCGGAGUACAUCAGCAAGGACGGGCUGCCCUACUGCGAGGCCGACUACCACACCAAGUUCGGGGUGCGCUGUGAAGGGUGCGGCAAGUUCAUCACUGGGCACGUGUUGGAGGCCGGCGACAAGCACUACCAUCCACUGUGUGCAGUGUGUGUGCGCUGCGGCCGCACCUUCGCGGAGGGCGAGGAGAUGUACCUGCAAGGUUCCUGCAUCUGGCACCCGGCGUGUCGCCAGGCUGCCCGCACAGAAGACAGAAGCAAGGUGCAGAACCCGCUCUGCAGUCUGGGGUCCCCGGGCAGUGCGCCCUCUGCCUUACAGGAAACCAGGACUUCCUCUGAGAGCAUCGUCUCUGCCCCCGCCUCCAGCACGUCAGGGUCCCCGAGCCGAGUCAUCUAUGCGAGGCUGGGCGACGAGAUCCUGGACUACCGGGACCUGGCAGCGCUGCCUCGGAGCAAGGCCAUCUACGACAUCGACCGGCCCGACAUGAUCUCCUACAGCCCCUACGUCAGCCCCGCGCUCGCGCCCGGCCGCAGCAGCAGCCAGCCUGCGCAGGUGCCCUCGCCAACACCGACAGAGGGGGACCAGGACGAGCGUUCCUGCAAGCAGUGUCGGACGUCCAGCCCCAGCUCCACCGGCUCGGUCAGCCUGGGCCGCUACACCCCCACCUCCCGCUCGCCCCAGCACGGCAGCCGCGCAGCUGGUACUGUGAGUGUUGGUACCAGUAGCUGCCCGUCCCAGUCCCGACACCCCAGCCCCACCUCCGCCUUCAGGCACCAUUACAUCCCCUACUUCCGAGGCAGUGAAAGCGGCCGGAGCACCCCCAGCCUCUCGGUGGCCUCUGACGGGAAGCCCCCCCAGCCCACCUACCAGCAGGCCCCGCGACACUUCCACGUCCCAGAGACCGGCGUCAAAGACAACAUCUACAGGCGGCCCCCCAUCUACAAGCAGCACGGUCCCUUGGCCCAGUCCCCAGUGUCCAAGCUCUCGGGUCUGAUGUCAGUCUUGUCCCUGGUGGUGCGUGGGGCGGGGUACCCCAAAAGGCUGGAAGGCCCCAGUCCUCCACAGGCCACAGCUGCGAGGCGCCUGGAGGGAGACGAUGGCAGCUUCGCAGUGGACGGCAGGAAGAAGGCCAGCUGGCUACUUCUCAAGGACGACGUGGACACGAGGACAAGUUCCCCAGAGUUGGCCAGCCAGUGCCCAUCCCAGGACAGCGGGGCCGACCGGGACACACUGCAGGCGAUGCCAGGGGACACUUUUUACUCGCGACGCCCCCCCUCCAAACCCGACCCUCUCCCGGGACAUGGAAUCAGUGGUCUGGACCACCGGAAUGCCAGUGCGGCCCCCUGGGGAGCAGACCCGGAUGCUGGCUGGGGCAUGCGAGAAUACAAGGUAAGGAUGGCCAUGACAGGGACCUGGUCCAGGACCCCAUGCCCAGCGCUGAGCUGCCCCCUGCCCCCAGGUGUACCCGUAUGAUGCGCUCAUCGUGACCAACCGACUUCGCGUCAAGCUGCCCAAGGAUGUGGACCGGACGAGACUGGAGAGACACCUGUCGCCGGAGGACUUCCAGGCCGUGUUCGGGAUGAGCGCCGCCGAGUUCGAGCGCCUGGCCCUCUGGAAGAGGAACGAGCUCAAGAAGAAGGCGCUGCUGUUCUGAGGCCCCGCCCCGCCGCGGCCGGCCCCGCCCCGCCCCGCCCCGGCCGGCCCCGCCCCGCCUCGCCCCGGCCGGCCCCGCCCCGCUCCGGCAGGCCUCGCCCCGUUCCGGCAGGCCCCGCCCCGCUCCUGCAGGCCCCGCCCAGUUCCGGAUGGCCCCGCCCAGUCUCGGCCGCCCCGCCCCUCUCCGUCCCGCCCGGCGCGGCUAGUACCUACCCAGCGGGCGGGCGCCGGGUGCGGGGCGCGCUCCCCGGCUUCUGCGCUGUCGCCUGCCCGUAGCUCAGGGCCGCGAGCCGCGCUGGCCCGCCCGUUCCCGCCCGCUCGCCCCUGCUCGCCCGCGUCGGGUGGCGGCGGCUCCGCAGAGGCUCCCGGGCCGGGCCGGGCGCGCCGAGCGCCGGACGCCCGAGCUCAGGCCGACGUCGCGGGGAGCCAGUCGCCUCAGCCCCUGUGUGUGUCUGUCCACGUCAGCCCUGCCCACCCGGGCCUGGAAGCGCUUCUGACUAACGGGGUCUGAUUCGGUUAGGACGCCCGGCCCAGGCGCCUCCCCCGCCUCUGAGCUCCCUCUGGCCCCGGGACCCCGUCCGUCUCUGCCCUUGUCCUUCCCGCCUGUCACACCGCACGUCUGCGUGAGGAGAGCCCCUGCUGUCGUCAGGGCUUGGGGAGAACCCCGGGGUAACGGCUGCUGCCCCCCAGCCCUCUCAGAAACGGAGCCCCCCCCCCGCCCCUCCUCGCCUUCCCGUGUCUUGGGAACUGGAUGCACGGCAGGCAGCCCCCGACAGCCAUGCCGGGCCCAGGACGUCCGUGAAGUGUGUCAAGCGUCUCAGGACCCCCGGAGGGGACCCAGAGGCCGGGUGCCCGGUGGGCAGUGCACCCCGCAGCCCUGGCGCCCCCGCCUGCCCCGCGCUGUGUCCGCCGCUCAGCCAGGGGCGCUCAAGCUCCCACGCGCUUCCGUAGUCGCUGCUUUGAGCCACUGUGCCCGGCCCUGUUUCUCCCCAGGGUGAUGUCACGGGGUCCUGGGCAAUAAAGACGGUGUCGGCCACUGGG